GACGAACGCUGGCGGCGUGCCUAAUACAUGCAAGUCGAACGCAGUGGGGACGGGUGAGUAACACGUGGGUAACCUCCCAUCAGAGGGGAUAACACUUGGAAACAGGUGCUAAACCGAUACUGAUGGAUGGACCCGCGGUGCAUUAGCUAGUGGGUGAGGUAACGGCUCACCAAGGCCACGAUGCAUAGACGCCCUGAGAGGGUGAUAGGCCAAAAUGGGAUGGAGAAAAGGCCCAGAGUCGUAAGGGAGGCAGCAGUAGGGAAUCUUCGGCAAUGGACGAAAGUCUGACCGAGCAACGCCGAUUGAGUGAAGAAGGUUUUCGGAUCGGAAAGCACUGUUAUUAGAGAGGCGGUAUCUAACCAGAAAGCCACGACUAACUGCGUGCCAGCAGCCGCGGUAAUAC
rnacentral:rRNA from 1 species